GCAAUUGUAAAACUCAGAUGAAACCAGAAGUUAAGCUGCAGAACUCCCAGCAUAAACAUUUGGUCUGUUAUUAAGUUCACUUUCACCAGCGAGACAAAGAAACACAAUCCCCCCAUUGUUCAGGGAAUGUUUAUGCAGUCCGGUGGCUUAGUCUGUAGAGGGUUCAAGUAGAAGUAAGGCUGUCUCCGUUGUGCCCUUUCUGGUCUACUAAAUGCUUUUAUUCUAAUGUGCCCCUUCUCAGCAUCCGUAUAGCCACUCUUACUGUGGGCGUGGUGUAUCGCAACAUCCUCGUAUCAGACCUGUCUCCACCUGUGGCCCCUUCAGUCCUUUUAACCCCCAGAGUCCUGUUCUCAAAUUCCUCCCGUGACAUUCAGAGUUAUUUGGUUUGUCAUGUCCCCGCAACCCUCCUCCCUGUGGCCACAGCUCCAGUAGUUUUACCUAAACUCAUUCUGUCUUUUGGUUCUGGGUUCCAACAACUGAUGACUACUGGCAGCUACUCAAAAAAAAAAAAAAAAA
rnacentral:lncRNA from 1 species